UUUUUUUUUUUUUUAAUUUAUAUGAGUACACUGUAGCUGUCUUCAGACACACCAAAAGUGUACAUCAGAUCCCAUUACAGAUGGUUGUGAGCCACCAUGUGCUUGCUGGGAAUUGAACUCUGGAAGAGUAGUCAGUGCUUUUAACUGCUGAGCCAUCUCUCCAGCUCCCCCUGCAUCCACUCUUAACUGCGCUGAUUACAGGGCUGUGCCGCCAUGCUUGGCAUAAACUCAGCCAAUCAGUGGGAAAAGAAACAAAACAGUCUGGACCCAAAGUGACAUCUCCAUUCUGCCUCUAUCUGUGAGCUCCGGAACAUAGGCUCAGCCUCGCAGGUCUUCAGGCUCCUGAGCAAGUGCCAUUUCCUGCUUAGUCAGCUCACUUCCCCUUUGUAUCACUAAAUGAGUAUUACUUAAUGUUGAAUGUGAGGGUGGCCUUUGGUUUUCCUCCAGUGCUCUGUCCCUGAAAGUAUACCCAGCCUUUCUUUAUUUCUUAGCAUUUAACUUUAUAUGUUGUAACUGAUCGGGAUAUUUUCGUCAACUUGACACAGGAAAAAUCUAAGUGCAGGACUACUAACAUUAUACCAAGGCAAUUAUAAGGAAUCUAUAAGAAAUCUGAACUCAGUGAGUGUUAGACUGCUAGUUAGGUGAAGAGCAGACAGUCUGCCUCAAUAUGGUUCUCUGUCCCUGGCAGAGGUCUGUCUGCUGUGAAUCAGUGAAGACAGUAUGUCCCUUCUCUCUGCUGUGCAUUCCUAUUGACCCCACAACACACAUCAGUAGUCAGAUCUAGGGAGUGGUUAGGUGAGGGGACACCUACCUGCCAAGUCCUAGCAUGCACAGGCCUACAGCAGGAAAGGCCUGGGUGAGGUGGUAUCUGCCUGGACCCAGCAGUUAGGACAUUGAGGCAUGGUGGUGGUGAGUUCCAGGCAAGCCUGUGCUGAGGAAAUAGUUCAAGGCCAGUCUCUAAGGCGCAGUCUCAGAACCUAACAAAUUCAGUAAAGUGUUGUGAUACCAUAAACAUUAAAAAAUCUAGUUUUCGCUAAGAAAUACAUCAAGAAAGCAAUCUCCUAAUAGCUAUAAAAAUGAAAAUAAAAUUAAGAAAGUGAAAGCUUUCUUUAAUGAAAAUCAUAAGACUGAUCAAAGAGAUUGAAAGGGAGCUAGGGAGCUGGCUCAGUUGUCUCAUUGCCUGCCCCACAAGCAGGCAGACUCUAGCACCCACAUGGAUGCUCACUGAUGGUGCACAUCUGUACCACAGUGCUCUGGGGCAGACAGCUGGAUCCUGGAGCUUACUGGCCAGCCAUUGUUGUCAGUUGGUAAUCGCUAGGUUCUGUGAGAGAAUCUAUCUCAGAGAAUAGAGAGAGCUACAGAGGAAACCACCUGAUGUCAGCCUCUGGCCUAUACACACAUUUGUGCACACAGAUACACACAUAUACAUUGUAGAAGAACUGAACAGGGUGACACACAACUGAGACUGAGGAGAAUUGCCUCAGCUUCAAGGCCUGUCUGGACUGCAGUCUUGUUGAAUGCCAGCCUGGGCAAGACCCUCUCCCAAAAAACAAACAAGUACUACCAUCCCUAAAAUGGGGAUAUUUCCUGUGUUGGUAAAAUUAGUACUAAAAUACCAAUAGUACAGCCGGGCGUGGUGACGCGCGCCUUUAAUCCCAGCACUUGGGAGGCAGAGGCAGGUAGAUUUCUGAGUUCCAGGAUAGCCAGGGCUAUACAGAGAAACCCUGUCUCAAAAAACC
rnacentral:lncRNA from 1 species